rnacentral:rRNA from 1 species
UACAGAGGUGGCAAGCGUUGUUCGGAAUUACUGGGCGUAAAGGGCGCGUAGGCGGUCAGGUCAGUCCCGUGUGAAAUCCCUCGGCUCAACUGAGGAACUGCACGGGAAACUACCUGGCUUGAGUUCGGGAGAGGGAAGCGGAAUUCCGGGUGUAGCGGUGAAAUGCGUAGAUAUUGGGAGGAACACCAGUGGCGAAGGCGGCUCACUGGACCGGAACUGACGCUGAGGCGCGAAAGCGUGGGGAGCAAACAGG